GACGAACGCUGGCGGCGUGCUUAACACAUGCAAGUCGAACGGAAAGGCCCUGCUUUUGUGGGGUGCUCGAGUGGCGAACGGGUGAGUAACACGUGAGUAACCUGCCCUUGACUUUGGGAUAACUUCAGGAAACUGGGGCUAAUACCGGAUAGGAGCUCCUGCUGCAUGGUGGGGGUUGGAAAUUUUCGGCGGUUGGGGAUGGACUCGCGGCUUAUCAGCUUGUUGGUGGGGUAGUGGCUUACCAAGGCUUUGACGGGUAGCCGGCCUGAGAGGGUGACCGGCGACAUUGGGAAUGGGAUACGGCCCAGACUCCUACGGGAGGCAGCAGUGGGGAAGAUUGCACAAUGGGCGGAAGCCUGAUGCAGCAACGCCGCGUGCGGGAUGACGGCCUUCGGGUUGUAAACCGCUUUCGCCUGUGACGAAGCGUGAGUGACGGUAAUGGGUAAAGAAGCACCGGCUAACUACGUG
rnacentral:rRNA from 1 species